rnacentral:rRNA from 1 species
CGCGUAGGUGGCUGCGUAAGUAAGGUGUGAAAGCCCUCGGCUUACCCGGGGAAUUGCGCCUUAUACUGCGGGGCUUGAGGGUCAUAGGGGAAGGGGGAACUCCAGGUGUAGCGGUGAAAUGCGCAGAUAUCUGGGGGAAGGCCGGCGGCGAAGGCGCCCUUCUGGGUGAUUCCUGACACUGAGGCGCGAAAGCGUGGGGAGCAAACAGGAUUAGAUACCCUGGUAGUCCACGCCCUAAAACGAUGGAUACUAAGUAGGGGUCCCUGCAAGGGGUUCCUCGCCGGAGUAAAAAACGUUAAGUAUCCCGCCUGGGGAGUAUGGUCGCAAGGCUGAA